AGAGUUUGAUCCUGGCUCAGAAUGAACGCUGGCGGCGUGCUUUACACAUGCAAGUCGAGCGAGGCGUGUAGCAAUACACAGUCGAGCGGCGAACGGGUGAGUAACACGUGGAUUAUCUGCCCUAAGGUGGGGGAUAACCCGGGGAAACUCGGGCUAAUACCGCAUAAUACCGAGAGGUCAAAGGGGGCUCGCAAGGGCUCUCGCCAUUGGAGGAGUCCGCGUCCGAUUAGCUAGUUGGUAGGGUAAUGGCCUACCAAGGCGACGAUCGGUAGCCGGCCUGAGAGGGUGAUCGGCCACACUGGAACUGAGACACGGUCCAGACUCCUACGGGAGGCAGCAGUGGGGAAUUUCGCGCAAUGGGCUAACGCCUGACGUAGCAACGCCGCGUGGAGGAUGAAGGUCUUUGGAUUGUAAACUCCUGUCAGCAGGGAAAAAGCGACUCGUGCUCAUACCACGGGGAGUUGAUUGUACCUGCAGAGGAAGCCCCGGCUAACUCUGUGCCAGCAGCCGCGGUAAUAC
rnacentral:rRNA from 1 species